AUGAACGCUGGCGGCGUGCCUAAUACAUGCAAGUCGAGCGCACGGACGAGAAGCUUGCUUUUCUGAUGUUAGCGGCGGACGGGUGAGUAACACGUGGAUAACCUACCUAUAAGACUGGGAUAACUUCGGGAAACCGGAGCUAAUACCGGAUAAUAUUUUGAACCGCAUGGUUCAAAAGUGAAAGACGGUCUUGCUGUCACUUAUAGAUGGAUCCGCGCUGCAUUAGCUAGUUGGUAAGGUAACGGCUUACCAAGGCAACGAUGCAUAGCCGACCUGAGAGGGUGAUCGGCCACACUGGAACUGAGACACGGUCCAGACUCCUACGGGAGGCAGCAGUAGGGAAUCUUCCGCAAUGGGCGAAAGCCUGACGGAGCAACGCCGCGUGAGUGAUGAAGGUCUUCGGAUCGUAAAACUCUGUUAUUAGGGAAGAACAUAUGUGUAAGUAACUGUGCACAUCUUGACGGUACCCAAUCAGAAAGCCACGGCUAACUACGUG
rnacentral:rRNA from 1 species